rnacentral:rRNA from 1 species
CCUACGGGUGGCAGCAGUGGGGGAUAUUGCACAAUGGGGGAAACCCUGAUGCAGCGACGCCGCGUGUGGGAAUACGGUCCUCUGGAUUGUAAACCACUGUCCCCAGGGACGAAGAUGACGGUACAUGGGGAGGAAGCUCCGGCCAACUACGUGCCAGCAGCCGCGGUAAUACGCAGGGAGCGAGCGUUGUACGGAAUUACUGGGUGUAAAGGGAGCGUAGGCGGGACUGCAAGUUGGGGGUCAAAUCUACCGGCUCAACCGGUAGCCGCACUCAAAACUGCAGUUCUUGAGUGAAGUAGAGGCAGGCGGAAUGCGUAGUGUAGCGGUGAAAUGCGUAGAUAUUAGGAAGAACACCGAUGGCGAAGGCAGCCUGCCGGGCUUUUACUGACGCUGAAGCACGAAAGUGUGGGGAGCGAACAGGAUUAGAUACCCGAGUAGUC